rnacentral:tRNA from 1 species
GCGAAUGUAGCUCAAAGGUAGAGCAUUAGACAUGAAAUCUAAAGGUUGUGGGUUCGACUCCCAUCGUUUACAACA